rnacentral:rRNA from 1 species
GAUUAGAUACCCUGGUAGUCCAUGCCGUAAACGUUGGGCACUAGGUGUGGGGGACAUUCCACGUUUUCCGCGCCGUAGCUAACGCAUUAAGUGCCCCGCCUGGGGAGUACGGCCGCAAGGCUAAAACUCAAAGGAAUUGACGGGGGCCCGCACAAGCGGCGGAGCAUGCGGAUUAAUUCGAUGCAACGCGAAGAACCUUACCAAGGCUUGACAUGGACCGGACCGCCGCAGAGAUGUGGUUUCUCCUUUUGGGGCCGGUUCACAGGUGGUGCAUGGUUGUCGUCAGCUCGUGUCGUGAGAUGUUGGGUUAAGUCCCGCAACGAGCGCAACCCUCGUUCCAUGUUGCCAGCGCGUAAUGGCGGGGACUCAUGGGAGACUGCCGGGGUCAACUCGGAGGAAGGUGGGGACGACGUCAAAUCAUCAUGCCCCUUAUGUCUUGGGCUUCACGCAUGCUACAAUGGCCGGUACAAAGGGUUGCGAUACUGUGAGGUGGAGCUAAUCCCAAAAAGCCGGUCUCAGUUCGGAUUGGGGUCUGCAACUCGACCCCAUGAAGUCGGAGUCGCUAGUAAUCGCAGAUCAGCAACGCUGCGGUGAAUACGUUCCCGGGCCUUGUACACACCGCCCGUCAAGUCACGAAAGUUGGUAACACCCGAAGCCGGUGGCCUAACCCCUUGUGGGAGGGAGCCGUCGAAGGUGGGACUGGCGAUUGGGACUAAGUCGUAACAAGG